AUGGCGGCGUCCACAUGUAUGCGUCCUUCCCGGCAUUAGCCAGGCAGCUAGAGGAUGACUUAAUAAGGAAAGUGGAGAAACUGACCAAUUAAUGAACAUGCCCUGAUCAUUAAUCCACCACUAAAGGAAGUCAGAGCAGAAACUCAAGCAGGGACUUGAAGAAGAAGCCAUGGAGGAAUCCGGCUUGCUGGCUCACCCGUGCUUACUAGCUUGCGUAUACACCCCAGAACCACUCACCCAGCUGAUGAUGCCACCCAUCAGGCCAGUAAGGAAGACCACUGAUGCCACCGCCGAAAGCAGAACCUCAAUCAGCUUGAAAGAGAAUGGGCUCAACAAAAGAGAAAACUGUCAACAGAGAUGAUAAGUAUUUUGCUCUGCAGCUCAAGCUGGCCUGGUGCUUAUGAUGUGUUCCAGACUAGCCUGAACCUUGAGGAUCUCCUGCAUUAGACACCAGUGCUCUAGGAUUACAGGUGUGUGCCACCACAAGCAACUGUUUCUUUAAUCUGAUCUCUUUUCAGUGCUCUUUGGUUGAUUUGUAGCCAUUCAUAUAUUUUUGUUAUUAAUCAUCAAUAAUACAGCUAUCAAAUACUUUGU